rnacentral:piRNA from 1 species
GCCUAUAAUUUCCUGAGUCUUUUAUGUGAU